GACGAACGCUGGCGGCGUGCUUAACACAUGCAAGUCGAACGGAAAGGCCCCUUUGGGGGUACUCGAGUGGCGAACGGGUGCGUAACACGUGAGUAACCUGCCCUUGACUUCGGGAUAACUUCAGGAAACUGGGGCUAAUACCGGAUAGGAAUCCUUGCUGCAUGGUGGGGGUUGGAAAGCUUCGGCGGUUUUGGAUGGACUCGCGGCUUAUCAGCUUGUUGGUGGGGUAGUGGCUUACCAAGGCUUUGACGGGUAGCCGGCCUGAGAGGGCGACCGGCCACAUUGGGACUGAGAUAAGGCCCAGACUCCUACGGGAGGCAGCAGGGGGGAAUAUUGCACAAUGGGCGGAAGCCUGAUGCAGCAACGCCGCGUGCGGGAUGACGGCCUUCGGGUUGUAAACCGCUUUCAGCAGGGGCGAAGCUUGUGGUGACGGUACCUGCAGAAGAAGCACCGGCUAACUACGUG
rnacentral:rRNA from 1 species